GAGAGUGGGUAGUCCGCACGAGCGCACCUUACUUUUAGUUGCCAUCAUUUAGUUGGGCACUCUGAAAGAACUGCCGGUGAUAAGCUGGAGGAAGGUGGGGAUGACGUCAAGUCCUCAUGGCCCUUAUGUGUUGGGCUACACACGUGCUACAAUGGCAUUUACAAUAGGAAGCAAGAUGGUGACAUUAAGCAAAUCCUAAAAAAAUGCCUUAGUUCGGAUUGCACUCUGCAACUCGAGUACAUGAAGCUGGAAUUACUAGUAAUCGUGGGUCAGCGUGCCACGGUGAAUACGUUCCCGGGUCUUGUACACACCGCCCGUCACACCAUGGGAGUUGGUUCUACCUUAAGGCAAGGUUUAAUACCCUUGACCACGGUAUAGUCAGCGACUGGGGUGAAGUCGUAACAAGGUAGCCGUAGGGGAACCUGCGGCUGGAUUACCUCCUUUCU
rnacentral:rRNA from 1 species